rnacentral:rRNA from 1 species
GAGUGGCGGACGGGUGAGUAACGCGUAGGAAUCUGCCUGUUAGUGGGGGACAACGUGGGGAAACUCACGCUAAUACCGCAUACGCCCUACGGGGGAAAGGAGGGGAUCUUCGGACCUUUCGCUAACAGAUGAGCCUGCGUUAGAUUAGCUAGUUGGUAGGGUAAAGGCCUACCAAGGCGACGAUCUAUAGCUGGUCUGAGAGGACGAUCAGCCACACUGGGACUGAGACACGGCCCAGACUCCUUCGGGAGGCAGCAGUGGGGAAUAUUGGACAAUGGGCGAAAGCCUGAUCCAGCAAUACCGCGUGUGUGAAGAAGGCCUUAGGGUUGUAAAGCACUUUCAAUUGGGAGGAAAACCUGCCGGUCAAUACCCGGUAGCUUGACAUUACCUUUAGAAGAAGCACCGGCUAACUCCGUGCCAGCAGCCGCGGUAAUACGGAGGGUGCGAGCGUUAAUCGGAAUUACUGGGCGUAAAGCGUGCGUAGGCGGUUCGUUAAGUCAGAUGUGAAAGCCCUGGGCUCAACCUGGGAACUGCAUUUGAAACUGGCGGACUAGAGUUUAGUAGAGGGGAGUGGAAUUUCAGGUGUAGCGGUGAAAUGCGUAGAUAUCUGAAGGAACACCAGUGGCGAAGGCGACUCCCUGGACUAGAACUGACGCUGAGGUACGAAAGCGUGGGUAGCAAACAGGAUUAGAUACCCUGGUAGUCCACGCCGUAAACGAUGUCAACUAGCCGUUGGGCCUAUUUACAGGCUUAGUGGCGCAGCUAACGCAUUAAGUUGACCGCCUGGGGAGUACGGCCGCAAGGUUAAAACUCAAAUGAAUUGACGGGGGCCCGCACAAGCGGUGGAGCAUGUGGUUUAAUUCGAUGCAACGCGAAGAACCUUACCUACCCUUGACAUCCAGAG